rnacentral:rRNA from 1 species
AUUGAACGCUGGCGGCAUGCUUUACACAUGCAAGUCGAACGGUAACAGGGUGCUUGCACCGCUGACGAGUGGCGAACGGGUGAGUAAUGCGUCGGAACGUGCCGAGUAGUGGGGGAUAACGCAGCGAAAGUUGUGCUAAUACCGCAUACGUACUGAGGUAGAAAGUGGGGGACCUUCGGGCCUCACGCUAUUCGAGCGGCCGACGUCUGAUUAGCUAGUAGGUGAGGUAAAGGCUCACCUAGGCGACGAUCAGUAGCGGGUCUGAGAGGAUGAUCCGCCACACUGGGACUGAGACACGGCCCAGACUCCUACGGGAGGCAGCAGUGGAGAAUUUUGGACAAUGGGCGAAAGCCUGAUCCAGCCAUGUCGCGUGUCUGAAGAAGGCCUUCGGGUUGUAAAGGACUUUUGUCAGGGAGGAAAUCCCUAGUGCUAAUAACACUGGGGGAUGACAGUACCUGAAGAAUAAGCACCGGCUAACUACGUGCCAGCCGCCGCGGUAA